GUCUAGUACACAUUGCUUCGUACAUUUUUUUUUGUUGUUGUUGACAUUUUUUGUUUGUUUUUUUGUUGUUUCAUCGUAUCCAUUUUUUGUUUUUGUUUUUUAGAUCUGCAGAGAGCCUUUCAUUCCUUUCUUCUGUUGCUUCUACAGUAUCAUUUGCUCAGAGAAGGUAGAGGCUAGGGUUACCCUGAAGUUUUCCUUGAAUAUCAUACCAGCAAUUCACCAUCAUCAACUGAACAUUUUAUGGCUUUACCAUCCACAUUUUUCACACACAAACUUAAUUUUGGCAAAAAUAUUCCUUGUGAGCCACUGUUUUACAUUAAAGACUAUAUACAAUUUUGCUGAGAGACAGUUUGAAGAGCUAUUUUCUACUUCCCACAUUUCUUCUAAUCUCUCAUUUGACAGUGUAAAGCAUUUAAUAUGCAUUCCCCUGGAUCCCCUUGUCCAGUGUGUGCUACUGUAUUCUACACAAGUUUGAGUUCAGCAAUACAAAUUAGUGUAUUAGGAUAUAUUGUGGUAGUAAGUUGUUUUUUUCCUCCAUUUUUAACAAGGAUAUUGAUUUUUUUUUUCUUUUUCUUUUUUUCUCCCUUGACCAGUGUUUCUUCUAAUCCACUGUUUUUCUUGAAAGUACUUGACUUGUGUAUAUCUUCAUAUUUGGUUUCCCUUUUCUUUAUUUUGAUAUGUUCUGUAAUAUAUUUGCUUUGCAUGGUUUACUAACUUAACAUGACAUUUUAGAAAAUUGAGAUGAAGAGCAGACAUGAAUUUCAUAAUAAGUAUCAUGAGGUUAAACCCUUAUUAUUACAAAUGUAUGACAUCCAAAUGAUCUGUGCAUGAGGUAUAUAAUGCUGCAAAGAAAUUACAUUGCUUUUAAGAAUAACCUCAUAUUCUAAUGUAAAUAAAAGGAUUAUAGAAAUAUCAUCUGUCUGUACUUAUUUAGUUUCGUUAAUUUGAAGGCUGUAAUGUCAAUGAACAUGUAAAUUUUCAGUACAUGAAAAUAUUAAUAUGCAUAAAUAUGAUAUACUUCUGUCUUACAAACGUCUUUCCAGGACAAAAAGAAUAUAAAUAGAAUAGAGUUCUAAUGGACUGCAUUAUAGUACAUCAUCUUUAAGGGGAAAAAAUGUCACAAUUAAAGCUUCAAAUAAUAUCUGU
ensembl:lncRNA